GAUAUUUGCCAGCAGAGACCAUCCUCGUGGGAGCUGAACAGAGGCAUUAUGGGAUGCUUCUUUUCUCCAAGGAAUGCUGGGAUGCUUGCUACUUUGUCUUGCUUGAGGGAGUAAGAGAGGAUUAGCUAGAAGGGCCAUUAAACGGGAGUAAUGAUGCUUCUAAAGAGCUCUCUCUCUCCACACGUAUGCCAAGGGGGGGAGGGGAGAGCAGCCUAAUCGGUUCCCUCCCCCUAGGUUAGCUCAACCGGUUAAGCCAUCAGGUGUGCAAGGUGCAUGGCCGGGAAGGGAACCCUGACCCUACAGAGAAGCGGAGGGUGUCCUUGGAGAGGCUUGAAUUAUGGGGGGGGGGGUUGCUACUGGAAUUACUUGGGUGACAGGAAUAUUAAUGAGCCACUGCCAGUGAUUAACAGAGAGGCACCGUGAUAACGAAUGAAUGCAGCUGGCAAAUCACAGAAGUCACAUCAGCAGAAGGUUUCACCCACACAUCAGUGAGCCUGGGGCUGGAAACCGAGCCGGCUGGCCAUGACACAGCUUCACCUCCAGCAGCCUCAGGAACAAGCCGACUAAAGUUACCAGCCUGCCUGAUCUUCUUGUCUUAGCAAGCAGAGAGAAUAACCCUGCAGAGCAGAAGCUGGGAAACUUUUUCAGCCUGAGGGCCACAUUCCUCACGGAAAACUUCCUGAGGGCCGUAUGCCUAGGCGUGGCCAGAGGGAAAAGAAUCCUGGACAUCCAUGACCAAAAAUCUGACAAAAAAAGAGGUGAAAACUCUGCGAGAGCAAUUUAAUCACAGAUGGCAUGAAAGAAUUAUUCCUUUCAGUGACGAUGGUGAUGACAGUGCCAUGUUUUGUUGCCUUGUUUUUCAAAGGCUUGCACGAUUUACUUAGCUUCCUACUGUAUCUAUUUCAAUACGGAGAUUUCCCUUUUCUUGUUUAACAUCUUCACUGUUUAUUCAAAUAUAUGUUUCUUUGUAUACUCUUUACCCCAGGAUUUUAUAUCGGUGAUGGUUUUAUAAUGGGAUUUUAUAUGAGUGCUGGUUUUAGACUGAAUUAUACUCCACUAUCUUUCUCUGUUGUGUCUAUAAAAGAGAAAAAGAAAAUAUUGUCAGAAGUUAUCCCAUCUUCCUGCCAGAUUAUGAUGGUGUGCUCACUACAAUUUGUCAAGUAGAGUGACAGCCUUGACAAAGUUUGUUUUGCAAUGGAACGGUUUUGUUAAUUAUUAAUCAGUUCAGCAGGAUCACUUUGGAUUUGUUAUAUCGUUCUCUUUCUUCCUAAA